GUCAGGAUGGCUGAGCGGUUUAAGGCGCUGCAAUCAGGAUGCGUGGGCGUGGGUUCGAAUCCCACUUCUGACA